CAACGAUAGUGGCAAUCAUUUAUUAAGCCCUGCCCUGGCCUAAGGCACCACAUGGGUCGUUUCUUCCAGGUUCCAACUCAAUUCUGCUUUGCCACAUGGUAACACAAUCCUAUCAUGGAAGCACCAUCAUUACCGCCAUCGCAGGGGAAGCCCAAAAAGAGAUUGUACCCUGCUCGCCCCUCCUGCUCCCACGUGACUGAGAGCUAAUGAUAAAUGCCAGCCAGCAUCCCUGUCUCUGGGGCCCUGGAGAGGCCUUCAACACACCUGGUCUCACUGCCCUGUGGCUUCAACAAAGAGGCUGAGCAUCUCCUAUAACCCUCGAGGUCCAUGAAUGACGUAGCAGAGUGAUGGAUUUCAGAAAAGGCAGGUGCUUCCCACUCUUUACAUUUUUUUUUUUUAUUCUUUCCAAGUUUCCCAUCAACAGCCCUGCAGUAAAAAUCCAGGGCUUCAGAGACAAACAUUUCAUGAGUACAGACUGUGAUGAGGAAAAGCAAGCCUUCCCUCUCUAUCUAUCAGGACCCUGGUGCUUUGCUCUUAAAAUGAAAAAAAAAAAAAAAAAAACAGUGAUAACGGUUGGCACAGGACUCAGGACUACAGGCCGUUUCCGUGUUGACUUCUUUUGGCAAAGAUACCCAGGACAGCCGUGUGAGGAGUUACUCCGGGUUUCGGCCCAUAGCCAGCUAGGAGAAAUGAGGUUCAAGGGGCAGAGGGUAAACUCCUCAGCAGAGACAGAACGGGGCAGGAGGAGGGCAGGAGGCGGGUGACUGUCAGAGAAAAUGCCUCCAUCCCAGAACAAGCAGAAACAGGCACACCCCUCUGAAACAGAAAAGUCAGAAAGCCUUGCAACAUAGAUGCAACUCAGGGACUUCCCCUUGCAGCCAGCAGCCAAGGCAGCUUCUAGGCACAGCGUGGCUGUAUUUAAGCCCAACUUGGUCCCUAACUUCUCUCCAAAGCUGGUCAAGGUGCCCCACCCGAAGCAUCCAGAUGACAGGCUCCUGCCUCCCCUCUUGCACGAAAUCAUUCCCGGAUGUAGAGCCUGGCUUCUUCUCUCUCCCCAUUAAAAAUCACCAGCGUUUCGCAAAUAAAGGCGAUCACCAUGUGAAAAAUUAUCUUUUAAAAUGGAGUUUAAUUUGCAUAUAAGGAACGAGAGAUUUAUGACAAGCAACAUCGUCCAGUACUGCAUCUGCCUAGUAUCAGUCGUAAUUUAGAUUGUUUGUGACUGAUCUUAAAUUCUAAAGCUUGGAGAAGAUGAAGUACUCUGUUGCUGUAUUAUUGUCAGGAGUCUAAGACUUACCAGAGAUUUAUUAGUAAUCUUAUCACAAACAUGUCUCAAGUUUUUGCUUUUAAUAUGUGCCAAGCUCCUCUGAGGAAUUUUCCUCACUGCAAUUAUAUUCCUCAAUGCCUGCAUUCUGAAGCUGAGUUGAUUUCCUUCCCAAAAUAAAGCGACCUAUCAUUACACCACAGCCGCUCUUGUACAUUUUUCCUCUGCUACUUAAUAAUCAAUGUAUUCAUCAUUAAAAUCUGAGCCCUGAAGCAAUGGUUUUUAGCAUAUUCUAAUGACUAGCGACUUGCAAAUUACAAUGACCUUUCAUGUACAUUCUGAAAGCACCUUGUUCUAAUGUGUACUGUAUUUAUAGUUUGCCAAUACAAACUAGCCAAAGAUUGGAUAAUUACUGUAAUCUAUUAGCUCGAUUGCUUUCCCUGCUCAUUUAUAGCAUGUGCCACGCAGGCCAUUUUCAAAAACUGGCCUAUCUUUCAUCUCCCGCAAGCUCAGAAAGUAAGGGAUACUUCAUCUUCACAAUAUACACACUUACUAAUGUCUGAAGAGCAGCCCCAUCUCAGCUCAAGGAGGUUUCAAAAAUAAAAAACCUUCUUUCCUAUUAGUGUCAUAAUGCUAUUUGUGACUGACAAAAAACACCGCUCCGAGAGUGUAAACUUUCGUUGAAGAAUGUCAAGGCCAGUCCCAUUUUCUGCCCAUUACUCUGACCUCCAAAUAGCAUUUAAUAAGAUCUGCUUUGAAAGAAAAAGAUAAAGGCACUUCCCUUAAACAAGAAACAAUUUUUUUGUUAUAAAUAAAUGUUUCAAGUGAAGAAUUAAACUUUUUCUUUUCUUCU